GAGAGCGUCUACCUGGACGCCUAAGGUAGCUAGCUGGUAGAUUUCUGGAAACUUCCAGAAGCUAGUGUGGUCGUUUCUUCAUCUAAAUACGUUGCAUUUGUGAGGUUCAUCCUUGUAACAGCAACAGCAGCAGCCCAGCAACAGCCCAGCAGCAGCAUAACUACCACCAUCAACAACAGCUCAGCGGUAGCAGCAUCACCAGCAACAUCACGAGCCCAGCAGCAGUAUCACUAGCAGCAGCAGCAGCAGCAGUAAUAUAGGCACCAACAAAGUAGAAGAUUUGCCUCUUGGAUGACUAAUCAGUAAACCUUCCAGCAAGUCUAACAGUAAUAGGCUCAACUCAGAGGACGUAGAGGCUCUCCUAUUGCACAACAGUUAUGCCUGCCACCGGUGAAGAGUAUGGGAACAUAACUCCUCCACCUGAAAUUAAAGAAAUUCAAGAAAUUGAAGGACCGCAAGCUAUUGAAACUCUCAUGAACUAUUGUCAGAUUAUAUUUAAAACUGUUCAAAGACUGGAAAAAAG
rnacentral:lncRNA from 1 species